GGACUCUCCUCUCACAGCUGGAUUGAUGGACUGGUGCGAGUAUCCGGAGCUUGGGGCAAUGGGGGAUUUGUUGGUUACUUCAAGCUUUGCACAGGGUUCAGUUAUGGUGGUGCAACAAUAUAGUGGUUAUGAAGAUGAAGAUGAUGCAGACAUGGUGGUGGAUACGGGAAGUUCUGAGCAUGGAAGGGAACAAUUCAGGGAUUGGCGGGCAACAUCAGAAGAUAAUAAUCAUGGUGGUCUUGAGGAGGUGGAGCCAUUUGCAAUGAACAAAAUCAAGGAUCAUCAUCGUAGUAUUGAUGAACGUGUGUAGCGAUCGAUAUGAAUUGUCUCUUCUUUUUUCUUAAUUAAU
rnacentral:misc_RNA from 1 species